UUGAGAGCAGUUCGGAGUUGACUUUUUAACUACUCUGGGAAUGUUGUUUCCAGCACGUCUCAGAAACCCCGUUGCCAUCUGAAAGGCCCCCUUCCCUGCUCUCUCCCCCGGCCUUGCCUUUCAUGGGCUGUCUCUGACCCUGGCUUCUCUGCCUUGUGGAGACCCUGCCAGCGAGGGGUCUGGCGGCUUAGCUGCCCCUUGCGCACCCCACCCGGUUAGACCCAGGGCUCGGCACGCUCUCCUGAGACUGGGCACAGUGAUGCCAUCUGCGCCACUGACUCUCUCUUCCCCUGGCUUGCCAGGACUUGAUCAUCUUCCCUGACGACUGUGAGUUCAAGCGGGUGCCGCAGUGCCCCAGCGGGAGGGUCUACGUGCUGAAGUUCAAGGCAGGGUCCAAGCGGCUUUUCUUCUGGAUGCAGGAACCCAAGACAGACCAGGAUGAGGAGCAUUGCCGGAAAGUCAACGAGUAUCUGAACAACCCCCCGAUGCCUGGGGCGCUGGGGGCCAGCGGAAGCAGCGGCCACGAACUCUCUGCGCUAGGCGGUGAGGGCGGCCUGCAGAGCCUGCUGGGAAACAUGAGCCACAGCCAGCUCAUGCAGCUCAUCGGACCAGCCGGCCUCGGAGGACUGG
rnacentral:sRNA from 1 species